GCGGUCGUGGCGGAACUGGUAGACGCGCAGCGUUGAGGUCGCUGUGGGGAGACCCGUGAAAGUUCGAUUCUUUUCGAUCGCACCA
rnacentral:tRNA from 1 species